GAGGCUGUAGCUCAGCGGGAGAGCGCAUCAAUCGCACUGAUGAGGUCAGGGGCUUCGUCGUGAGCGCUCAGCCGAACGGUUCAAGUCCCCUCAGCUCCC
rnacentral:tRNA from 1 species